AAUUCAUUUAAGCAUAUUUCAUUAAUGUAACUGAAAAGACAAGUAAUAAAUUAGACAGUUUUAUUCGUUUUAGGAUAUUUCAUAAAUGCAACUGAAAAAAACAAACAAAAAAAUAGGGAGUUUAAUUAAUGAAGUAAGAACAUUUUCAAAUGGAUACUUCUCUUUUAAUAAUAUAGAUAAUGUCACACGUGUCUUUGUCGUGGUUAUUAACUUAUGAAAGAAUUACACUCAGAGGCAGUUUUAAGUUUAUUAUAACACAAUAAGUCAUUUUCUUCUACCAAGACACUUUCUUCUAACUGCUUCCCUUCUUCCUAAACAAAUUAGUUACUUCGUAACUAACCAACUGAGUAACCAAAGUAUUAUAUUAGCGGGAAUUAACCUCAACCACACAUCUCUCUUCCCAUUCAAUGGUUCAGAUUAAAUCUAACACUUUUGAGAAGACUUAUUUCUGUUUCAUUUCUUGACCAUUGGAUUUGCUUUUGUACUUUAACCUUUAACGAUUCAAAUUUACUCAGCCACAUUCAUCAUCUCCUUUUUUAUCGUUGUAUUUCUUCUGAAAAUAGUAAUGGGUGUUCCUCAUCAUCUCCUUUUUUCACCGGCGUCUCCACCGCUAUUCUCGCCGGAGUGGGUCAGUCCUACUAAAGCUAAUAGGUGCCUUCCCUUAGACUUCUGUCUUUUCUCUUCGGGUAAGUUAUACCCUAGAAUAAGAUUCAAAAUCCUCUCUUUCUAUUGAUCUCUCUAAGCAAAAUGAGUGAUUUCUUAUUUGUUUUGAGUCAGCAAUGAAUCUACUACACAUCAAUCAUCAAUAACAUAGAUUUAUGUUUUGGAUCCAACCCCCACCUUGUUUAAGAGCUUCUGAUUGAUGUGUGUGUUUUCAUGCUAUCUUCAUGUUUGAAGCAUGAUGAAGAGUGAUGUCACAACAAAGAUAACACUUAUGUCAAGGGAAAUGAGCUGAAGAGGACAAGGGAGAUGAAUCGAAACACGGCCACUGCGGCGGAUUUCGAACAUCACAACCACCACGAGCACAAGGGAGAUGAAAUGAAUAGCACGACAUGGAGGAAGAAUUUGUUUGUGUUGAUUUCACGGCGAAGGAGAAGACGAACAUGCAGUUUCGCGACCGAGCUCGACGGAGGUUCACCGGCAGUCACAGAGGAUGACCAGGAAACACGGCGAGAGGAAUUGUGGCAUAGAUGACCUGAGAUCGAGAAGUUGAAGAUUGAGAUGUGAAGAAGAAGCUUUUUGAUUUCAUAAUUAUGUUUGUUUACUCUCGAAAAAGAGAAGAAAAGUAAUAAAUUUUAGAAAAUUGUGGAACCACUUUAGUUAGAUAAAAAGAAUCUAGUUAACGGUGGUUUGGUUUCUAGUCAUAAAAAACUACCUCAAUAGUGAUAACUGACCUAGAAUGUAAUAAAAACUUGGAAACUGUCUUAUAGUGUAAAAUACUCUUAACUUAUUAUACAGUCUAACAUGUGUACCACCAACAAUUAAAAAACCAAUUUAUAUAUAGCUAUCACAAAAAGUUGUUAAAUAUUUUAGUGAUAGAUAUUGAACCAAACCCAUUUAUUUUGUAUAUUCUAAUGAUUCAACUAUAAAUUAUCUACCCAACUAUAUUUUAUCUAUAAUUAGAAAUAAUGUUAAUAAUUUAACAUGAACUUAUGCAUUUUUCAAAAUAUAAAAAAUAUAUUUUCUAAUACAAAUUAAUGGAUAGAAAAAUAUU